GAAAUGCGAUAAGUAGUGUGAAUUGCAGAAUUCAGUGAAUCAUCGAAUCUUUGAACGCACAUUGCGCCCCUUGGUAUUCCACGGGGCAUGCCUGUUCGAGCGUCAUUUGUACCCUCAAGCUCUGCUUGGUGUUGGGUGUUUGUCCCGUCUCCGCGCGUGGACUCGCCCCAAAGUGAUUGGCAGCCGGCGUACUGGUCCCGGAGCGCAGCACAUGUCGCGCAAACGAGUGCCUUGGUACGGCGGCGUCCAUAAGCCCCUCUCUCACGCUCUUGACCUCGGAUCAGGUAGGGAUACCCGCUGAACUUAAGC
rnacentral:misc_RNA from 1 species